AUCCUUUCCAAGAACAUGAAGCAGGCUCUCAGAGCGACUCAACUCUUCUUAUCUGGCUUUGGAAACAAUCACGAGCUCAGGCUACCUGUGCAUUUUAGCUCCAAAAGGGCCACCCUUCCCUUUAUUCACUAGAGGUGGCAUAUUCAUGAAAGGAAUUGCAUCCCUUGGAAGUGACUGGAGACUACAUUCCUGAAGACUCUGCUGACAGAACAAUGAGGUGAGGGCAGAUGGAGAAGUCAACAUGGAGACAGAAUAACCUCUUAGACACUUUUCAGUGACCAAGUAUUUCUAGAGUCCUACUUCAAGCCUUGCUCAUCCUCUUUGAUGAUUCAACCUCCCUCCUCGUGCUGGAAAACUGAAAUUUGAUGUUUAACCUGGCCUCAGUAACCACAGUAGACUGGACUCGCUGGGAGUGGAUUUUCUGAUGAUAAAUGUAAAAGAAAGCCCUCUCCCCGGAAGGAGAGAAUAACCUAAUUGCUCAUUCUACUUAAAAUUGAAGAGGUUUGGGAAUUCCCUGGCAGUCCAGUGGUUAGGAUUCCUUGCUUCCACUGCAGGGGGUACGGGUUUGAUCCCUGGUUGCUGGUUGGGGAACUAAGAUCCCGCGUGCCAUGUGGCAAGGCCAGAAUAAAUAAAUAAAUAAACGGAAGAGGCUUGCUGAUGAUGUGUAGAAGAGCAACAACAAAAUUCCAUGCAUACCUUUAUAACAUUCUCAGCAGAACGUGUGUACCCAAUGUAUAUAGCUAGAUCCACAAAUAAGGCAACAAACCAUAUGGACCCACUGACGCUUAUGAUUCUCAUUAAGCUUUCAAAACAAGUUUGUGAACAGAAACGGACAGAGAGUGAUGUAUCGAGCACCCCACUUACCCACAGCAAAACAAUGAAAACUUAACCAUUUGCAAUAGGGCUUUUUUUCCUUUUAAAGAAAUGAAACAUCACAAAUAUGCUUGAGACUCUCUGGGACCUCUCUCUAUUCCUAUUUUUCUCCUUCCCCAAAUGGAUUUUGUUUUUUAUCAUUCCUAAGUCUGUUUUAAUAUUUUUUACUACCUAUGCAAUAUCAUAAACUACAGUAUUGUUUUGCAUGUUUUAAAACUUUCCAUAAGUGGAUCAUUCCGUGUGCAUCAUUUUACAACACUUUUUUUUUUUUUUUUUACUCAAUAUCAUAUUUUAGAAAUUUAUCCAUGUUUACGUGUCUAAUUUAACUCACUCAUUUUAGGUGCUAUAAAACAUUCCAUUGUAUGAAUAAACCACAAUUGGUUUUUCCAUUUUCCAGCUGAUAAACACUUAGGUUAUUUCUAAUGUUUACAUAUAGCAAACAAGACCUCUGCAAAUAUUCCUGGACAUGGUUCUUUGCGUAUAUAUGCCUAGAAGUGGAAAUGCUGCUUAUAUACAAUGUGGGGCUUCAACCUUAUUAUAAUCUCACCAGCAUGUUUGAAAUUUGUCUUUCCCCCACAUUCUUACCCACAGUUGAUAUUAACAGAUUGAAUUUUAUUUUAUUAUUAUUAUUUUUACCAAUUUGAUGUCUGUGAAUAGUAUUUCAUUCUGGUUUUAAUUUGCAUUUUCCUAAUUACUACUGAUGAGAAGGAGUUAUUUAUAUAUUUUUGAUGCUAAUCCUUUGUGGGUUUUUAGGCAUCAAAAAUAUUUGGUUAAGUUCUUUGCACCUUGUUUUCGGUGCGCCCUGAAUAAAGAGAAGUUCUGAAUUUUAA